rnacentral:rRNA from 1 species
CCUACGGGAGGCAGCAGUGAGGAAUAUUGGUCAAUGGACGAGAGUCUGAACCAGCCAAGUAGCGUGAAGGAUGACUGCCCUAUGGGUUGUAAACUUCUUUUAUAUGGGAAUAAAAUGUUCCACGUGUGGGAUUUUGUAUGUACCAUAUGAAUAAGGAUCGGCUAACUCCGUGCCAGCAGCCGCGGUAAUACGGAGGAUCCGAGCGUUAUCCGGAUUUAUUGGGUUUAAAGGGAGCGUAGGUGGAUGGUUAAGUCAGUUGUGAAAGUUUGCGGCUCAACCGUAAAAUUGCAGUUGAAACUGGCAGUCUUGAGUACAGUAGAGGUGGGCGGAAUUCGUGGUGGAGCGGUGAAAUGCUUAGAUAUCACGAAGAACUCCGAUUGCGAAGGCAGUUCACUGGACUGCAACUGACACUGAGGCUCGAAAGUGUGGGUAUCAAACAGGAUUAGAUACCCGAGUAGUC